rnacentral:misc_RNA from 1 species
CUCAGGAUUGGCCGGACUGU